rnacentral:rRNA from 1 species
GAUGAACGCUGGCGGCGUGCCUAAUACAUGCAAGUCGAGCGAACAGACGAGGAGCUUGCUCCUCUGACGUUAGCGGCUGACGGGUGAGUAACACGUGGAUAACCUACCUAUAAGACUGGGAUAACUUCGGGAAACCGGAGCUAAUACCGGAUAAUAUAUUGAACCGCAUUGUUCAAUAGUGAAAGACGGUUUUGCUGUCACUUAUAGAUGGAUCCGCUCAGCAUUAGCUAGUUGGUAAGGUAACGGCUUACCAAGGCAACGAUGCGUAGCCGAACUGAGAGGGUGAUCGGCCACACUGGAACUGAGACACGGUCAAGACUCCUACGGGAGGCAGAAGUAGGGAAUCUUCCGCAAUGGGCGAAAGCCUGACGGAGCAACGCCGCGUGAGUGAUGAAGGUCUUCGGAUCGUAAAACUCUGUUAUUAGGGAAGAACAAAUGUGUAAGUAACUAUGCACGUCUUGACGGUACCUAAUCAGAAAGCCACGGCUAACUACGUG